AGCUUUGUGCAGUGGCAGUAUCAUAGCCAAUGAGGUUUAUCCAAGGUGCGAUUAUUGCUAAUUGAAAACUUUUCCCAAUACCCUCCCCCAAAAGAAAUAAAUCUUAUAUUUUAAACUAUAGGAAGGCAUCUGUAUUAAGC